rnacentral:rRNA from 1 species
AUUGAACGCUGGCGGCAGGCCUAACACAUGCAAGUCGAACGAGUGGCGGACGGGUGAGUAAUGUCUGGGAAACUGCCUGAUGGAGGGGGAUAACUACUGGAAACGGUAGCUAAUACCGCAUACCAUCGGAUGUGCCCAGAUGGGAUUAGCUAGUAGGUGGGGUAAAGGCUCACCUAGGCGUCGAUCCCUAGCUGGUCUGAGAGGAUGACCAGCCACACGGGAACUGAGUCACGGUCCAGACUCCUACGUGAGGCCGCAGUGGUGAAUAUUGCACGAGGGGCGCAAGGCUGAUGCGGCAAUGCCGCGUGUAUGAAGAAGGCCUUCGGGUUGUAAAGUCCUUUCAGCGGCGAGGCGUUAACCGCAGAAGAAUCACCGGCUAACUCCGUGCCAGCCGCCGCGGUAAUAC